rnacentral:rRNA from 1 species
UAGCCAGCACCCCGAGUGGUCGGGACGAUUAUUGGGCCUAAAGCAUCCGUAGCCGGUCCUGCAAGUCUUCCGUUAAAUCCAGCUGCUCAACAGAUGGGCUCGCGGGGGAUACUACAUGGCUAGGAGGCGGGAGAGGCAAGCGGUACUUUAUGGGUAGGGGUAAAAUCCGUUGAUCCAUAGAAGACCACCAGUGGCGAAAGGCGGGCUUGCCAGAA